rnacentral:rRNA from 1 species
AGCGAACGCUGGCGGUAGGCUUAACACAUGCAAGUCGAGCGGGCACUUCGGUGUCAGCGGCAGACGGGUGAGUAACACGUGGGAACGUACCCUUCGGUUCGGAAUUAUGCUGGGAAACUAGCGCUAAUACCGGAUACGCCCUUUUGGUGAAAGGUUUACUGCCGGAGUAUCGGCCCGCGUCUGAUUAGCUAUUCGGUAUGGUAAUGGCCUACCAGGGCGACGCUCAGUAGCUGGUCUGAGAGGCAGAUCCGCCACACUUGGACUAAGACACGGUCGAGACUACUGCGGAAGGGAGCCGUGGGGGAUAUAGGCAAAUCGCCGCAAGCAUGAACGAGCCCGGCCGCGUGAGCGCUGAAGGCCUUAGGGUUGUAAAGCUCUUUUGUACGCGACGAUACUGACGGUACCGGAAGAAUAAGCACCGGCUAACUUCGUG